ACAACAUGGACCUCGUGUUUUGAUUUAUACCCAUAAAUUAUUAUCAAGAAUAAUUUAUUAUGUUUUUCAAAAAUCAGGGAUGUGUAGGGUAGAGCAUUUCAUACCUAACGGGUCCCAUCAGCUGAUCAUCACCAUGCUGAGUGGGUCUCACUCAAGCAGAGAAGUAAGUGUCUGUGUGUCCUAACUGCAGAAUGCGUGCAGUUUCCCUUAACCUCUUCGCGAUAACAAAGUAGCUCACGCGCCCCUGUAGUGCGUACGGGGAUCCAUUCUGUUUCACAGUGUUAACACUUCACGUUAUACACACGGGCUUAACGUGUAGACGUCAUUUUACCUUUGUGGUUUUCCACGUGUCAGUAUUUUUCCGUUUUUUAGUUACAGAACACUGGAUUUGCUUCUUCAUUUGUGUGCAGAAUUCCCUUGUAAAUAUUCCUCUGUAAGAUGCCAUCUCCUGCAUUCCAGUGAAUUUCCCUGAGAUAUUUCCCACAGCAAGUUUUUUCGGUGGUAGGGGUUUAUCUAGUUGUCUUACCUUUGAAAAGCUGCAGUGCCAUUGCUGUUGUAUUCAUAAAUUCCCUACAGAACUUCUCAAAUUAGAUUUUCUUUUUUUUAACUGAGUGGAAUGGACUGGUGAAUUUAAUUGUCCAUGUGUGCAGUUGUUCAUGGAGCCUUUCGUUUUGCAAGUAUCGGCUUUCUCUUUGUUUUCCUUCUUUGUCUGAUUCAGUAGAGACUGAGUGCUGAUUGCAGAGACUCAGACAUGACUUUUGUGGAGUUUGGUGGUGGUGAGGUUUUCAGGCGUAUUUGUCAUCAGCCCAGAGGCAGUUUUGUUGCCA
rnacentral:lncRNA from 1 species